rnacentral:rRNA from 1 species
UGAGUAACACGUGGGUGAUCUGCCCUGCACUUUGGGAUAAGCCUGGGAAACUGGGUCUAAUACCGAAUAGGAUCACGCGCCUCAUGGUGUGUGGUGGAAAGCUUUUGCGGUGUGGGAUGGGCCCGCGGCCUAUCAGCUUGUUGGUGGGGUAAUGGCCUACCAAGGCGACGACGGGUAGCCGGCCUGAGAGGGUGUCCGGCCACACUGGGACUGAGAUACGGCCCAGACUCCUACGGGAGGCAGCAGUGGGGAAUAUUGCACAAUGGGCGCAAGCCUGAUGCAGCGACGCCGCGUGAGGGAUGACGGCCUUCGGGUUGUAAACCUCUUUCAGUAGGGACGAAGCGCAAGUGACGGUACCUAUAGAAGAAGGACCGGCCAACUACGUGCCAGCAGCCGCGGUAAUACGUAGGGUCCGAGCGUUGUCCGGAAUUACUGGGCGUAAAGAGCUCGUAGGUGGUUUGUCG